rnacentral:rRNA from 1 species
AACGAACGCUGGCGGCGUGCCUAACACAUGCAAGUCGAGGGAGAAAGCCCGCAAGGGUGAGUAAACCGGCGAACGGGUGCGUAACACGUGGAUAAUCUACCUUCCUGACUGGGACAACUGGCCGAAAGGCUUGCUAAUACCAGAUAAGCCCACGGCGUCUUUGGACGCUGAGGGAAAAGGUGGCCUCUGCAUGCAAGCUAUCGCAGGGAGAUGAGUCCGCGGCCCAUCAGCUAGUUGGCGGGGUAAAAGCCCACCAAGGCUACGACGGGUAGCUGGUCUGAGAGGAUGAUCAGCCACACUGGAACUGAGACACGGUCCAGACUCCUACGGGAGGCAGCAGUGGGGAAUCUUGCGCAAUGGGCGAAAGCCUGACGCAGCAACGCCGCGUGUGUGAUGAAGUCUUCGGAUCGUAAAGCACUGUCGCGAGGGAAGAUACGCCUGAA